rnacentral:lncRNA from 1 species
CAGAAAUGACAAAAGGCUAGCAGUGUAUCAGUUCAUUUCUCUGAUAUGAUCAUGUGAAAAGAAAUAUAAAUAUUAGGCCACAAUAAUGCCACAAAUUGGCUUACAGUUAUAGGGAACCCUAGCAUAAUACUGUUUGCUCUCAUCUUUAUAACCUCACAUUUUGUAACACAAUAAGCUAUCACAAAACCUUUAUAUAUUUAUGGCAGCAACCUAAAAGUUCAAAUCAAAAGUUCCAAGGAUGUGAAACUGAAUAUCUAGAAGCUGAAUUGUUUUUGAUGAAGAGGAGAUAUCUGGACUGAUUCUGUUUCUUUCUGAAAGAGUUAUUGUGCACGUUUCGUGUUUCUGUAUGUGAUCACCAGCUGCAGAUGCAAAAAAGAUACAUUGGCCAUUUUCUGGAAAGGUCAGGUAUAUUGCUAUAGUUUGAAACCUUCUUCCAGAUCAUCAGAGAUGUACAAGU